GACCCAGUGGCGAAGUGGUAUCGCAUCUGCUCAACUUAAUCAUUGGGAUAAUAUACUUUGCGGAAGAUACCCGUUCGAUUCGGGUCUGGGCCA